GUCAGCUGUCUUUCCUGGACGUUUCCUCCCUGACCUUGGGCCGUGCGGGUAACCGCGCGGCCUUUUUUUGUCGCUAU
rnacentral:sRNA from 1 species